GUAAAGCUUCAUUAAGUGAAAUUAUAAUGAGUGAUAAUCACAUUUACAGAAAUAAUAUUUUUGAAGAAGAUUCAUGUACAUUAAAUGUUUUGAAUUUAAAAAAUCAAUAUUUAAAAAAUAAUAAGAAACAGGAUAAAUUAUAUGGUAAUAUUAUAAGAUCUAUUAGUAGUUCUUCUGAAAGGUCUAUUAAAACAAAUUGUGUAUUAAAUCCUUACAUCAAAAUAGAAACAAGUGAAAAUAUAUUACAAGAAGAAUCAUUAUCAAAUAAUGUAUGUGAAAAUGUAGAUGAAAAAAAUAUAUUAUCUUCUUUUGCAAUAAAAAAAAACUCGGCAAAAGUAUUAAAUAAAAAGUUAACAACGCCAUUUAACCAAGAAAAUAUGAAUAUUAAAAAAGCAUUUACCAACACAAAAAUGACUUUUCCGUUAAAAAAAACUUCCUUAGCUACUUACAAAGAGGAAAAAAAAUUAAUUGUUGAUAAGAAUAUAGUAGUAAAAAAAGAAUCGACAGAAUUUGAUAAUAAUAAAAAUAGUUUAAUUGAAAAACAAAUUCCAAAGACAUGUGUAACAACUGUUACAAAAAGAGACACCAUGAAAAUGGCAGUAAAAGCGGAUGUAAAUAAAAACGAAAAAAAUCAAUUAACUGAUGAAAAAGCGAAUAUUUCAAUGGUUAAUAAUAAGAUAGUAGAGCAAAAAAAUGUGUUAUUACCAAUAAAAACUAAUAUGUUAAUAAAAAGAAAUGAAGAAGUUUCUAAGUUCAUGUAUAAUAAUAAAGCAUAUUCGUUGAAAGCGGAGAUAAAAAAAUCAUUAGCUCCGUCGAUGAUAAAAACAAAUAUACCAAAAGAACCCCGAAUAACAAAAAGUGAUUUACUAUUGAGUAAAAAAUCUUCUAUUGUGAAAGAUAAUAUAAAUACGAAGCAUGUAUCGAAUGUAAAAGAUGCGAAACCAGUAUCAUCAAAUAAAAACUGUAAUAUAUUGUUAAAAGAAAACAAAGAUAGUAAUAUUUUAAAAGAAAAAGUAGGUGGAAAUAAAAAAGAAAAUUCUUUAAAAACUAGCACAGAAAUUAAAAAUUCAGAUUUUCAAGUUAAGCAAAGUUUAAUGAAAAUAAAAGAACAAAAUGAAAAAGCAAUACCAACAAUAAAUAAAAAAGACAGUUUAAAGGAAAAUAUAACUGACCCAAAUGAAAAUAAAAAUGUUAUUAAAAAUAAAAUGAAGGAUUCUUUACAUAAGAAUAACAUACAAAAUAAAAAUAGUAUAAAUAAUAUAAAUUUAUCUAAUAAUACCAUUCCUGAUAUGUCAAUUAAUAUAAAAAAAGAAGAAGCCUUAAGUAAAGAUAAGUUUUCAAUAGAUAAAAUGAAAGGUAAUCCAGUAGAAGAAGUACAGGACACUAAUAAUGCUCCUGUUCGUAAUGUUUCUAAUUAUAUUGAAGAUAUAUUUAAUGUUCUUAAUUUUAUGGCUCCUCAUAAAAUGGAAGGUGAAGACUCGAAAGAAGCAGGCAUAAAUGAAAAUAAUAAAAAAGAAAAGGAAAGAGCAACUGGAGAAAAUAAGGAGAAUAUUAAAAAUGUAAAUGAGAAAAAAAUCACAAGUUCGGAAGUUAAAAAAAAUAUACAACAAAAAAACGUGAGUAAAAAAAGCUUGAAAACCAAAAAAAGUAGUGUACAAGAAAAAAGCGAGAGUGAAGGAAGCUCAGAGAAUAAUGAUAGCGAUUCAAUAAAAAGAACAAAAACAAAAAAGAGUGAGAAAAAAAAGCUUAAAGAUGAUAUAAUAGGUACUUCAGAAAAUGUUUUUAAAACACAGGUAACAAAUACAGAUAAAAAAGAAGACGAAAAUAUUAUAAAAAAACGAGAUAGUAUUAAUUCUGAUAAAAAAAAAAAGAAAUUAGCGAAUUGUAAAAGUGUCCAAAAUAAUAAAAUUCCAAAUGAUUCUAUAAAUAGUAAUUCAAAAAGUUAUUCAAUAAAAAAAGAAUUAUCAUUAAAAGAUAAACAAAAUUUACAUAUUCACAAUGCAGCAAGUUCCAAAUCCAAACCAGGUAGGCACCAAUUUGAUAUUAAAAACGAGUUAUAUAAUAGUAACAAUAGUAGCAAUAGUAAUAAUAGUAAUAAUAGUAAUAAUAGUAGUGAUAGUAAUAAUUGUAGUAAUAGUAGUGAUAGUAAUAAUAUGUUGGUAAAAAAAAAAAGUUUGCAUGACUUGUUAGAUGAUCAUUUAUAUAUAUUAAAUAAAGGCUUAAACAUAAACAAUGUGAAAACACAGUCGAAAGUUAUAGAAAAAACAUUACCCAAUUUUGUAAAAGAGAAAUCAGCUAAUGUUCUUUUACAAAAACUAUUAGAUUCAGAUUUACAAGAUUUUAAUACUAUGAGUAAAAGGAUGUCAGCUGAAGAAAUUGCUAAGCACAAAAAUGCAUCACUUCAGAUACAUGUCAAAAAAAAAAUGUCGUUAUCAUCUUUAAAAAUAAAAACAAAAAAAAAAAAUUUAUCUAGUAUAUCUGAUAUGUCGAUGUGAUAUACUUUAUAUGAUGCACCACCCUAACUUUUGUUUUGUUUUGAUU
ensembl:lncRNA